GUCGGGUCGUAUCCAAUUUGCUUUACAUCGCUAGAGAUGGCUGCAAAUUGGUCUGUUACCUCCCUUUCUUCGGGUCAACGUCACCGAGAGCCUAAGAAACCCUAAAGUUGGAGUUUCAGCUCUGCGUCGCAAAUCACUUCACGAAGAAGUUUCGAUUCUUGGAUCACUUUAGGUCAAAUCUUUUCCCAAAGGUAACUAAACGUGAAGUUGUUCAUUAGGGGAAAAAGGUGUAUAU